ACGAACGCUGGCGGCAGGCUUAACACAUGCAAGUCGAACGCCCCGCAAGGGGAGUGGCAGACGGGUGAGUAACGCGUGGGAACGUGCCUUUUGGUUCGGAACAACUCAGGGAAACUUGAGCUAAUGCCGGAUAAGCCCCGAGGGGGAAAGAUUUAUCGCCAAAAGAUCGGCCCGCGUCAGAUUAGGUAGUUGGUAGGGUAACGGCCUACCAAGCCGACGAUCUGUAGCUGGUCUGAGAGGAUGAUCAGCCACAUUGGGACUGAGACACGGCCCAAACUCCUACGGGAGGCAGCAGUGGGGAAUAUUGGACAAUGGGCGAAAGCCUGAUCCAGCCAUGCCGCGUGGAUGAAGAAGGCCCUAGGGUUGUAAAGUCCUUUCGACGGGGAAGAUAAUGACGGUACCCGUAGAAGAAGCCCCGGCUAAUUUCGU
rnacentral:rRNA from 1 species